rnacentral:rRNA from 1 species
UCCAGACUCCUACGGGAGGCAGCAGUGGGGAAUAUUGCGCAAUGGGGGCAACCCUGACGCAGCAACGCCGCGUGCGGGACGAAGGCCUUCGGGUUGUAAACCGCUUUCAGCAGGGAAGAACCAUGGCGGUACCUGCAGAAGAAGCCCCGGCUAACUACGUGCCAGCAGCCGCGGUAAUACGGAGGGGGCAAGCGUUACUCGGAAUCACUGGGCGUAAAGAGCGCGUAGGCGGGAUAGCAAGUCAGAUGUGAAAUCCUAUGGCUUAACCAUAGAACUGCAUUUGAAACUGUUAUUCUAGAGUAUGGGAGAGGUAGGUGGAAUUCUUGGUGUAGGGGUAAAAUCCGUAGAGAUCAAGAGGAAUACUCAUUGCGAAGGCGACCUGCUAGAACAUAACUGACGCUGAUGCGCGAAAGCGUGGGGAGCAAACAGGAUUAGAUACCCGCGUA